CGCCGAGCACUUCCGGGUCACGUCGCCGGAGGCCGGGGCGUGGCGCCAGCCGCCCCCUGGGGCUGAGGCCGCCUGGUUGGUCCCCGACUUUCGCCGGUACCCGAGUUUCUAAGCGUCCCGGAAGAUGUUGCAGAGUUAUUUGAGAGGCCCAGAAGACCAUGAUGUAAUUUUCAGAAAAGAACAGAAGAAAAUGUCUGAGAGAAACACAGAGAGAAAGAGCCAGUCCAGGACUUGUAUGUGGAAAUAGCUAGGGAAAUAGCCCAGCCCCCAGGCUUUCUUCGGUUACUCUGCUUGUCUUCCCAUCUGUCCUGGAAGGGCUGAGUCACAUUCUUCAGAUUCUAUCACCAGUCCUUGGGAUGCAUUGUGGUGAAAUGUGGACAAGACAAAUAAACCUUUCUUUUAGAAAAACCCUGGUG
rnacentral:lncRNA from 1 species